rnacentral:rRNA from 1 species
GGAGGGAGCUAGCGUUGUUCGGAAUUACUGGGCGUAAAGCGCACGUAGGCGGCUUUGUAAGUCAGAGGUGAAAGCCUGGAGCUCAACUCCAGAACUGCCUUUGAGACUGCAUCGCUUGAAUCCAGGAGAGGUGAGUGGAAUUCCGAGUGUAGAGGUGAAAUUUGUAGAUAUUCGGAAGAACACCAGUGGCGAAGGCGGCUCACUGGACUGGUAUUGACGCUGAGGUGCGAAAGCGUGGGGGGAGCAAACAGGAUUAGAUACCUGGUAGUCCACGCCGUAAACGAUGAUAACUAGCUGUCCGGGCACUUGGUGCUUGGGUGGCGCAGCUAACGCAUUAAGUUAUCCGCCUGGGGAGUACGGUCGCAAGAUUA